rnacentral:rRNA from 1 species
CGAUUGACCUCGGAUCAGGUAGGGAUACCCGCUGAACUUAAGCAUAUCAAUAAGCGGAGGAAAAGAAACCAACAGGGAUUGCCUCAGUAACGGCGAGUGAAGCGGC